AGAGUGUGUUGGAGGUUCUCGGACAAUUACUUACAAUGAUCUGAGCUCGCGCUAUCAUACACAUUGUGACCCAAGACUCAAUGCUUCUCAAGCACUUGAACUUGCCUUUAUUAUUGCGGAGCGCCUCAGGAAAAGAAGACUGGGUCCUAAGUUUGGGUUUUAGAAAACCGAUCUUACUCCCCUUUCACUAGUAUUCGCAGUUUGGCCUCUGUGUGAAGAGGUAUAAGCAUAGUAUGGGAAGAUUCAAUUUUAUAGUAAUAUGACACUCAAAACAUGGAAACUCAGAAAGGCUAUUCUACAGUGUAUGUGUUAAGAUAGGACGGACCUCUUGAUGCUUAAAGAUUGUAUAUAUAUAAUAAAUAAGAUCUUCGCAAGUAAUGCGAACUGACUCUGUUUGGUUUGAUAUAUGGAGUAAUAUUUUUAGUGGCAGAACAAGUUUUUUU
rnacentral:misc_RNA from 1 species